AACGUAGGUACCGAGCGUUAUCCGGAUUCACUGGGCGUAAAGCGCGUGCAGGUGGUUUGGUAAGUCGGGCAUGAAAACUCUUGGCUCAACUGAGAGAAGCUGUUCGAUACUGCCGGACUUGAGGGUGUGAGAGGGAGGUGGAAUUCCGCGUGUAGUGGUGAAAUGCGUAGAUAUGCGGAGGAACACCAGUGGCGAAGGCGGCCUCCUGGCACACUCCUGACACUCAGACGCGAAAGCUAGGGGAGCGAACGGG
rnacentral:rRNA from 1 species